UGGAAGAAGUGCCUAUAUAUGAGGACAUGGCAACCGAGGAACCGCUGCAGGAUAGCGGUGUUGAAAACCAGCCGAUAGACCCCGAGUUAUGGAAAGAUGGCGAUAUUGUUACGAUAACCAAGCCGGGGCCAUACAAGAUUACUGCUUUGGUGUGUGACAAAUGGCCAACAGUUGCAGAGACAGAAACACCCGAGGAGGCUGCUGAAACUAUGAUUGACGGAGCCCUUGCCGGAGGUGAUUCGGAAACAAAGGACACAAACGGGG